rnacentral:rRNA from 1 species
UAGGGAAUCUUCGGCAAUGGACGAAAGUCUGACCGAGCAACGCCGCGUGAGUGAAGAAGGUUUUCGGAUCGUAAAACUCUGUUGGUAGAGAAGAACGUUGGUGAGAGUGGAAAGCUCAUCAAGUGACGGUAACUACCCAGAAAGGGACGGCUAACUACGUGCUAC